rnacentral:rRNA from 1 species
AGCGGCGGACGGGUGAGUAACGCGUGGGUAACCUGCCCUGUACACACGGAUAACAUACCGAAAGGUAUGCUAAUACGAGAUAAUAUGCCUUUAUCGCAUGGUAGAAGUAUCAAAGCUUUUGCGGUACAGGAUGGACCCGCGUCUGAUUAGCUAGUUGGUAAGGUAACGGCUUACCAAGGCGACGAUCAGUAGCCGACCCGAGAGGGUGAUCGGCCACAUUGGAACUGAGACACGGUCCAAACUCCUACGGGAGGCAGCAGUGGGGAAUAUUGCACAAUGGGCGAAAGCCUGAUGCAGCAACGCCGCGUGAGCGAUGAAGGCCUUCGGGUCGUAAAGCUCUGUCCUCAAGGAAGAUAAUGACGGUACUUGAGGAGGAAGCCCCGGCUAACUACGUGCCAGCAGCCGCGGUAAUACGUAGGGGGCUAGCGUUAUCCGGAAUUACUGGGCGUAAAGGGUGCGUAGGUGGUUUCUUAAGUCAGAGGUGAAAGGCUACGGCUCAACCGUAGUAAGCCUUUGAAACUGGGAAACUUGAGUGCAGGAGAGGAGAGCGGAAUUCCUAGCGUAGCGGUGAAAUGCGUAGAUAUUAGGAGGAACACCAGUUGCGAAGGCGGCUCUCUGGACUGUAACUGACACUGAGGCACGAAAGCGAGGGGAGCAAACAGGAUUAGAUACCCUGGUAGUCCACGCCGUAAACGAUGAGUACCAGCUGU